rnacentral:rRNA from 1 species
GACCUGGUGCGGUGGUCCGCCUUCACGGUGUGUACUGCUGGACCGGGUUCUACCUCUUGGUGAGCCGGCAUGCCCUUCACUGGGUGUGUCGGGGAACCAGGACUUUUACCUUGAGAAAAUUAGAGUGUUCAAAGCAGGCCUACGCCCGAAUACAUUAGCAUGGCAUAAUAAAAUAGGACGUGCGGUUCUAUUUUGUUGGUUUCUAGAGUCGCCCUA